rnacentral:rRNA from 1 species
AGUAGUUUGAUCCGUGGCUCGAGGACGAACGCUGGCGGCGUGCUUCAUACAUGCAAGUCGAACGAGAAUCUUGUGCUUGCACAAGAGGAAAGUGGCGGACGGGUGAGUAAUGUGUAGAGAAUCUGCCCUGAAGAGGGGGACAACAGAGGGAAACUUCUGCUAAUACCCCAUAUGCGCGUAGUUGCAAUACUAUUCGUGAAAGAUUUAUCGCUUCAGGAUGAGUCUGCAUCUGAUUAGCUAGUUGGAGGUGUAAUGGACCACCAAGGCGACGAUCAGUAGCUGGUUUGAGAGGAUGAUCAGCCACAAUGGGACUGAGACACGGCCCAUACUCC